UACAGAGGUCUCAAGCGUUGUUCGGAUUCAUUGGGCGUAAAGGGUGCGUAGGUGGCGCCGUAAGUCGGGUGUGAAAUUUCGGAGCUUAACUCCGAAACUGCAUUCGAUACUGCGGUGCUUGAGGACUGGAGAGGAGACUGGAAUUCAUGGUGUAGCAGUGAAAUGCGUAGAGAUCAUGAGGAAGACCAGUGGCGAAGGCGGGUCUCUGGACAGUUCCUGACGCUGAGGCGCGAAGGCCAGGGGAGCAAACGGG
rnacentral:rRNA from 1 species